rnacentral:rRNA from 1 species
AUUGAACGCUGGCGGCAGGCUUAACACAUGCAAGUCGAGCGGAGAGAGGUAGCUUGCUACUGAUCUUAGCGGCGGACGGGUGAGUAAUGCUUAGGAAUCUGCCUAUUAGUGGGGGACAACAUUUCGAAAGGAAUGCUAAUACCGCAUACGUCCUACGGGAGAAAGCAGGGGAUCUUCGGACCUUGCGCUAAUAGAUGAGCCUAAGUCGGAUUAGCUAGUUGGUGGGGUAAAGGCCUACCAAGGCGACGAUCUGUAGCGGGUCUGAGAGGAUGAUCCGCCAAACUGGGACUGAGACACGGCCCAGACUCCUACGGGAGGCAGCAGUGGGGAGUAUUGGACAAUGGGCGCAAGCCUGAUCCAGCCAUGCCGCGUGUGUGAAGAAGGCCUUAUGGUUGUAAAGCACUUUAAGCGAGGAGGAGGCUACUUUAGAUAAUACCUAGAGAUAGUGGACGUUACUCGCAGAAUAAGCACCGGCUGACUCUGUGCCAGCCGCCGCCGUAA